AAAUAUGCUCCAGCUAUAAGUAAUCUUCUUCUAGAAUUUUAACAUGAAUAAGUAAAAUUCUUCCGAUAUGAGUAUUGGCAAGCUAAAGAACAGGCAGGGAAUCUUAACUAGAUUUCCACAGACUAUUCUGAAAAACAGUUAAAACUUUCCAUGGGUGUAUGUAUUUGCCCAGGAAAGUAUCCAAAACUUUCAAAUAUAACAUAUUUUCAGAGGUAUCUGGGACAAACAAAUAAAAAUACAAACAAUGUAGAAAAGAACAUGAACCAAGCCAAGAAAUUUUGACUCAGUAAACAGAUCAAAAAGCAAUAUAUCUUAGUGGUCAACCCUGAAGGUUCUGCACAGACUCAAACACCAACAAACAGAUUUUGAAAAAAAAGAAACUGACGUUUUCAAGGCGAUAGUGCCAGCUGUUUCAAACCAGGCCCCUUAUUCUUACUAGAGACUUCCAUGAAAACCACAGCACCUUGAAACAUUCCUUUUCUGUAUAAACUGAGUUCUGGCAACACACAACCAAAGUACUCUGACCUAAUACAUGUACUUCCCACCAGGUUUUUGCAAUUAUUAAGUGAGACAAUGGAAGAAAGAGCUUUCAAAAGCACAAAGCAUUCUACAAGUUUUAAGAUGAAGACUAAUCAUCAGAAAAACUAACUUCAUGAUUAGAAAGUUG
rnacentral:lncRNA from 10 species